AUAUACGAUUAGGAGGAAGCACACCGGAAGCAACCACACCUCUAGCUAUACUCUCCGCCAUUUUACCAGCUCCGAUGAAUCCUACCUUGAAACUCUCCGCCGGAAUCGGAAGAAUCUCCAUCGGGAAAAUUUAACGGGCCGGCUGGCGAGAUACUUCGGACGGGUGAGCUGACGAGCUGCUUGAGACGGGCGAGCUGAUGAGCUACUUGAGACGGACCGGCUGACGAGAUGCUUCAGACGGGUGAUCUGACGAGCUGCUUGAGACGGGCCGGCUGGCGAGAUACUUCAGACGGGUGAGCUGACGAGCUGCUCUUUGUCUCUAAGUGUCCUCGCGGC
rnacentral:sRNA from 1 species